rnacentral:rRNA from 1 species
ACGCUGAGGCACGAAAGCGUGGGGAGCAAAUAGGAUUAGAUACCCUAGUAGUCCACGCCGUAAACGAUGAGGACCAAGUGUUGGGGGUGAAACCUCAGUGCUGAAGUUAACGCAGUGAGUCCUCCGCCUGGGGAGUAUGCACGCAAGUGUGAAACUCAAAGGAAUUGACGGGGGCCCGCACAAGCGGUGGAGUAUGUGGUUUAAUUCGAAGCAACGCGAAGAACCUUACCAGGCCUUGACAUGGGAUGCGAAGACGCAGAGAUGCGUUGGAGGUCAACAUCCACACAGGUGGUGCAUGGUUGUCGUCAACUCGUGUCGUGAGAUGUUGGUCAAGUCCCGCAACGAGCGCAACCCUUGUGGCAUGUUGCUAACAGGAAAGCUGAGGACUCAUGCCAGACUGCCGGUGACCAACCGGAGGAAGGCGGGGAUGACGUCAAAUCAUCAUGCCCCUUAUGGCCUGGGCUACACACGUACUACAAUGGCGGCUACAAAGAGCGGCGAGACAGGGAUGUCGAGCGAAUCUCAUAAAAGCCGUCCCAGUUCGGAUUGGAGCCUGCAACCCGGCUCCAUGAAGUUGGAAUCGCUAGUAAUCGCGGAUCAGCAUGCCGCGGUGAAUACGUUCCCGGGCCUUGCACUCACCGCCCGUCAA